AGGAAUCAUUACUGAGUGAGGGCCCUCUGGUUCCAACCUCCAACCCGUGUUUAUUGUACCUUGUUGCUUUGGUGAGCCCGCCUCACGGCCGCCGGGGGGCUUCUGCCCCCGGGCCCGCGCCCACCGAAGACACCAUUGAACUCUGUCUGAAGAUUGCAGUCUGAGCAUAAACUAAAUAAGUUAAAACUUUCAACAACGGAUCUCUUGGUUCCGGCAUCGAUGAAGAACGCAGCGAAAUGCGAUAACUAAUGUGAAUUGCAGAAUUCAGUGAAUCAUCGAGUCUUUGAACGCACAUUGCGCCCCCUGGUAUUCCGGGGGGCAUGCCUGUCCGAGCGUCAUUGCUGCCCUCAAGCACGGCUUGUGUGUUGGGCUCCGUCCCCCCGGGGACGGGCCCGAAAGGCAGCGGCGGCACCGAGUCCGGUCCUCGAGCGUAUGGGGCUUUGUCACCCGCUCUGUAGGCCCGGCCGGCGCCAGCCGACAACCCAUCAUCCUUUUCAGGUUGACCUCGGAUCAGGUAGGGAUACCCGCUGAACUUAAGCAUAUCAAUAAGCGGAGGAAAAGAAACCAACAGGGAUUGCCUCAGUAACGGCGAGUGAAGCGGCAAGAGCUCAAAUUUGAAAGCUGGCUCCUUCGGGGUCCGCAUUGUAAUUUGCAGAGGAUGCUUCGGGAGCAGCCCCCAUCUAAGUGCCCUGGAACGGGCCGUCAUAGAGGGUGAAAAUCCCGUAUGGGAUGGGGUGUCUGCGCCCAUGUGAAGCUCCUUCGACGAGUCGAGUUGUUUGGGAAUGCAGCUCUAAAUGGGUGGUAAAUUUCAUCUAAAGCUAAAUAUUGGCCGGAGACCGAUAGCGCACAAGUAGAGUGAUCGAAAGAUGAAAAGCACUUUGAAAAGAGAGUUAAAAAGCACGUGAAAUUG
rnacentral:rRNA from 1 species